GACCAUGUUAUUUUACCUUUAUUCUAAUAGGAGAACGUGCACAGCUUUGGCCGGAUGUCUAGAGUCGCCUCCACUUUUAAGGAACACACUUGCGACGUGUUUUUGUAACGUCAGUGAUGUUUCCACGUUCCCCUUGGGCAGCACUCCCUCACUCCGAGGUGGGAGGAAGUACUCUCCUUUUGCUCAGGGGGUGCACAAGAACUCUCAAUGGGUGUGGGCAUGGUCCCUUUAAGAAUUAGAAUGGGUUUCCGGGGCUUUGGGAUUUCGGCCCUUUCUUAGAUGCUUAGGAACAACUUGGGAAUACAAAGUUAAGUUAUGUGCAAUAUUAAAAGGGGUGCAUUUAUAAGGGAAGAACAUCGCACAUUUCGGAGGAAAUUCAGCUGAGAUGAAAAAGCAAAGUGUCCGAUUCUUAUUUGUCCGCUAUUUGUGGGAUCUUCGGGCUGCUCCCUGACAGCCCAGGAGAGUCCCUUUGGGUGCAAGGUGGCCAGGACCCUCCUGGCUCCUGAGGGCCCUCUCCUCGUCAGUCGUGGGGUGGGGGCGCCAAGGUGGAGCGGGCAGGAUUCUCGGUCAGAGGAGGACCACUGCCCCGGGCCGGGCCGCGGGUAUUUGAACGUCACCUGCCUUGAGCCGUUUGCCCGGUUGUCAGUCUGGACGAGGCUUCCUCGAACAUCUCUACACACAUCACUGUGAUUGGGUCUCUUUUUCAUUACGAAAAGUUUCUAGAAGCGGAAUUAGUCUUUGGGAGGGAAUAAACAUCUUAAAGGCUGUUUAUAAAUCCCCGGAGAAAAGUCUCAUCGAUGUGUAACCCUACCAGGGGCCCCUCACCAACAAGAUGAAUCACGAUUAGAAACUUCGUUUGCCAAGUUGCUUAGUGAGCAGUGACCAGAGUUACUCCGUCUUAAUCCGUUGAACUUCAGCUUGAGUCCUGGCGACCCCACCCUUCCCACUGCGCCAGGCCCCUGCUGUCCACUAGUGAGGACCGGUUGGGCAUCACGUGUCCAGGAGACGUUUUUCAUUUUGAGUUCAUGACGCUCUGGGGUGGGAAGAAUUAUUUCCUCUUCCUGAGACACAGAAAGGCCCCAGGUUCCGUGAAGGGCCAGCUCUGAGUGUGAUACUUUCUCCCCGGAGGGCUGGUGUGGGCAUUCUCCCCUCACACCCGGCGUGUGUUCAGGGCCAGGACUCUGGGUGUCUUGGUUUAUUUUAUAGGUGGGUGUACUUUUGUCUUAAUUUUUGUUUGUUUGUUUGCACUUCGGUUGCAACCCUGGCAUGUGGAAGUUCCUGGGCUGAGGACUGAACCCCAAGUCACAGCAGGGACAGUGCUGGAUCUUAACCUACUGAACCGCAAGGGAACUCCAGUCUUGUUUUUCUUAAACUCCUGUAUUCACAGUUAAUUUACAUGCAAUAAGAUGCACACAUAUUAAAACAGAGUUGGGGAGUUCCCAUCGUGGCGCAGUGGUUAAUGAAUCCGACUAGGAACUAUGAGGUUGUGGGUUUGAUCCCUGGCCUUGCUAGGUGGGUUAAGGAUCCAGCAUUGCCGUGAGCUGUGGUGGAGGUCAUAGAUGCGGCUCGGAUCCCGCGUUGCUGUGGCUCUGGCAUAGGCUGGCAGCUACANCACCAACAACAAAAAAACAGAGUUGGACGAGUUGAGAAAUACGGACUGCCAGGAGAUCAGCCCCACCGUCCAGAUGGAGGCCCCCCAUCCCCCCAUUGACCUGAAAGCCCUUUGCACAAUCCCACCCACAGUCAGCGGAUUCCAGUAGUGGAGGUGCUGGGGGUCCAUGCACAGGGACCCUUCCCACCCUGUGGGCCCUGGCUCUGCUCCCGCAUCACACACAUCACUUUUCCUUGCUUAGGAAUUUUGUAAGAAUUGUUUUACCCAAGCCCUGUCAGCUUUCCUUUUCCUGUCCCCACCUGCCCCUGGAGCCUCUCUGGGGCUGCAAUCAGCUCCUCCACAGGCUGGGUCUGUUCUGCUCCUGGAGGCCUCUCUUAGUGGAGGCAGGGCCUCCAGUGGGGUCUCUGGUGCCGUUGGGAGGACAGGAUGGGGGUGGCCGAGCAGCUGGCCUCUCUGAGGUGGCUUCACAGAGGGAUUAGGAAGCAGCCGUGGUGGCCCUGCUGUUCCUUGUGCUGUCCCUCACGGUGUCCAGUAACCCGUCACCCAUCGGCACCUAGAACAGGGUCUUGGAGGGAUCGGUUGGGUCCAGGUUGUGAAGGCAGGACUGGGGCUCAUGCUGAGGGGGUCAGAGGCAGGGGGAGGCCUGGAGGCAACUUUGCUUGGGUGGAAUAAACCAAAGUCCACACGUCCACCGACAGCAAUAAAAAGAGUGUGCUUCUCCUUUUUUGCUCCCUCCCACCACCUUCCAGGUUGUUGUCAGAGAAAGUGUGAAGCUACCUCUUCAGCACAGGCCAGCAGCAGUCCUGGCUCAGCCCCUGGCCUCGCUGCCCACCCCCAGCCCCUCUGCACCUUCAAAGGUUUUUGUGACACAAAGACACCUGUUUAGAAAGACCGUCUGGUGAAAGAGAAGAGGUCUCCCUGGAUUCCAUUUUACCUUAACUCGGUUUAAAUCAGGGUGCUUGUGCUCCCCUGCUUCUCCCAGCCUCUGGGCCUCGGGCCUGAGCGGCUUCACCUGCGUGCUGGGAUCGCGGCUGAGUCAUACCCUCGCCCAGCCUGUGGGUCCUCAUGCUGUUCCGGAGCUCCGGACACUGUGGGAUGUGCCGCCAGCUGCUUGGGGGACCCGGCGCUGCGUCUUCUCAGCUGGGGGGCCAGCAGCAGGAGAGCACAGGGAACAUUCGCAGGAAAGGGAAACAAGCGGGGUUUCCUGGCCUGUCGCCCUUCCCGAGGCUGGAUGGCAGAGUCGGGCGGUAAGUUUGUCCCUUUUUGGAGACGGAAGCAGCGAGGGGCCAGGCGGUCCUGCUCUAGCAGAGCCAGGAUGAGCUUUCUGGUGGCAGCCUCCUGGCCACUCUUGCCGUGGAGAAGCUCUCACACACCCGAGGGAAAGGAAGGGCAGCACUGUCCUCGCCGAGGCCACUGCGGUGCCAGGGGAGCAAGGCCAGUGCCACUGUCUGGGCAGAGGAGGCAGCCAGGGCGUCGAGCGGUGGAUGCUGAGCCUCCCGCAGCCUGAGGUGGGGGUGACGUGCCCAGGCCGGGUCGUGGCGCCAGUCACAUGCCAGUGGGGUCUUUGUGUCUGCAGAGGGGAUACCACUGGCUGGAGUUCCCACCACCCAAGCACUUUGCACCUGAUAGAGUGAGGUGGCGUUUGGAUAAUUUCUCCCCUCAGCACUGCGGUUCAAAUGGCCAGAUCCCACUGACGGACCUGUGUUGCAAACCCCCUUUGGAACUCGUGCUGCUAACGUCCUGUGUUGUGCUCAGCAUUGCCAGGUGAAAACAGAAUAGUCGGGAGUGGGACGCUAACAAUUUCAUGGAGAUCUAACUGGGUUGUCAGGUGUCCGUGGCCGGAGGGAAGCAGUUUCAGAACGACAGUGACUGUCAGCAUUUGGUCCUGUAAGGACUGGAAGUGAAAGCGGCAGAAGCUGCUGCAGUGUCAGCACGAGCAGGAAUCAGCGGCCCCCACGCCAGUCGCUUGAGAUGACUCCACAGAGGGCAGUGUCCAAGGUGCCCUGCUAUGCCCAGACGCCCUCCCAAGGCCAGCCGACCCCUCCUUGCCUCCCAAGCCACCAGUCUGCCAUCAAGUGUCCACCCUGAAGCAGGGCCACUGCCCUGCAUGGGCUUCCACCAAGUGAUUUCACUGAGUCCUCAUUCUCAAGGCCACACCACGAGCAGAGACAACAGAGAGCUUUCUGACCUUCCCCACUGCCACUUCCUGGGGCCGGGGCCGCAUUUAAAUAUCUUUUCUAAAGGGCUCGGUCCACAGAGCCUUGGUACUUGUGAGAAUCUUGGAUUCUAAGCAGAAGGUGCAGUUUCCCCCCUGUCACCAGGCAGACGUGGGUUGGGACAGGGAGCGGGUCUGCCUGCCUCCAUCCGCAGUGACUCUCCCCGCUCCCCGAAGGAGCCGAUCCUCUGCUGACCCCUCUGCCCCUCUUCCCUGAGCCUCCAGGCGGGGUGGUGCCGAGCUCUGCACCCAGGGCCCAGGAGGCGCGGUACCCUAUGGCGGUCGUGAAGCUCACGCCCCCUCCGAGCCUGGCCUCGCCGCAGAGAGCUUGCCGUCUGUAGGGUCCCGGUAACCCUGGAAGAGAGGAAGGAGAAGAAGGGAACUUCUCAUCUCUCCUUGCGACACUGGGCUUUGUAUUGCUUGCCAGAGGGGAGGGGUCACUGCUGGUCCUCUGUCCACCCAUCCAUUGGGUGUGCUGAGCUCGGAGCACAUCUUCUCAGCAAGGUCUUCCUGCCCUUGAGUCCUGGGACUAGGUCUCCCGGAAACGAUCGGAAUUGACCUGGGACUUGACAGCCCUGACCCAGAGCUCGCUGGGGCUUGGUGCUGCGCUAGGCACUUUACAGCUGGAAAACCGGAUACAUGUUCAAUCACCCGCAGCGCGUAAGGUGGCUGGGAGACCCUGUAGACGUGACUUGGAACCAAGGUGACGGCGGGGAGGCCGAGGCGUGGCAGGCAUCCCAGGGUUUUCUGGGCUCUUCUCUCCAUGACAGCCUCCGCCUCU
rnacentral:lncRNA from 1 species